AGCUUUGCGCAGUGGCAGUAUCGUAGCCAAUGAGGUUUAUCCAAGGCGCGAUUAUUGCUAAUUGAAAAAUAUGUUUUAACCAUGAUUAUCAAUCCACCAAUCUUAAAAAAAUCAUCAAGCAUCCUUAAAAAAGG
rnacentral:snRNA from 1 species